rnacentral:misc_RNA from 1 species
GUAUUUUGCGCAUUAUGCACAGGAACAUUCCAUUACAUUCAGAGUGUGUAAAAUUACUCUAAGAUCCAGAUGAGCACAAAACCAACAUCAGCUGCAAGUCAGACAAGCCAACAAGCGGAUCCUAAAGUCAAAGGUGCACAGGUGUGUGGAUUUGCGAUCAACGUGCACAUGUGUCACCACCAGCACAGAAGACCGACUUUAAUUCAUUAAUGAUCCUUCCGCAGGUUCACCUACGGAAA